rnacentral:rRNA from 1 species
AUACGUAGGGAGCGAGCGUUGUCCGGAAUUACUGGGCGUAAAGGGCGCGUAGGCGGCGCUUCAAGUCGUCUGUCAAAUGGGAGGGCUUAACCCUUUUUCGCAGACGAAACUGGAGAGCUUGAGAAGCAGAGAGGCAAACAGAAUUCCUGGUGUAGCGGUGAAAUGCGUAGAUAUCAGGAGGAAUACCAGUGGCGAAGGCGGUUUGCUGGCUGCAUACUGACGCUGAAGCGCGAAAGCCAGGGGAGCAAACGGGAUUAGAUACCCCGGUAGUCCUGGCAGUAAACGAUGUAUGCUGGGUGUGAGACUAGCGAUAGUUUCGUGCCGAAGUUAACGCGAUAAGCAUACCGCCUGGGGAGUACGGUCGCAAGAUUGAAACUCAAAGGAAUUGACGGGG